rnacentral:rRNA from 1 species
UACGGAAGGCAGCAGGGGGAAUAUUGCACAAUGGGCGAAAGCCUGAUGCAGCUAUGCCGCGUGUAUGAAGAAGGCCUUAGGGUUGUAAAGUACUUUCAUCGGGGAGGAAAAAACAAAACUAAUAAUUUUAUUUCUUGACGUUACCCGAAAAAGAAGCACCGGCUAACUCCGUGCCAGCAGCCGCGGUAAUACGGAGGAUGCUAGCGUUAAUCAGAAUUACUGGGCGUAAAGAGCACGUAGGUGGUUUUUUUAAGUUCAGAUGUGAAUCCCUGGGCUUAACCUAGGAACUGCAUUUUGAAACUGAAAUACUAGAGUAUCGUAGAGGGAGGUAGAAUUCUAGGUGUAGCGGUGAAAUGCGUAGAUAUCUGGAGGAAUACCUGUGGCGAAAGCGGCCUCCUAAACGAAUACUGACACUGAGGUGCGAAAGCGUGGGGAGCAAACAGGGAUUAGAUACC